rnacentral:rRNA from 1 species
CCCUUAGAUGUCCUGGGCCGCACGCGCGUUACACUGAUGCAUUCAACGAGUUUAUAACCUUGGCCUGAAAGGUCUGGGUAAUCUUUUGAACGUGCAUCGUGAUAGGGAUAGAUUAUUGCAAUUGUUAAUCUUGAACGAGGAAUUCCUAGUAAACGCGAGUCAUCAGCUCGCAUUGAUUACGUCCCUGCCCUUUGUACACACCGCCCGUCGCACCUACCGAUUGAAUGGUUCGGUGAAGAUCUCGGACUUCGAUAUUUAUUCUUUAUUGAGUUUAUAUUGUGGGAAGUUAUCUAAACCUCAUCAUUUAGAGGAAGGUGAAGUCGUAACA